AUCCCAUGGUAGAGACAUUGUCUAAGCAGUUCCUUAAAUCUUUCCCAAGUAUCAAAUAUGGAUUCAUCCUCUCCUUGCCUAAAUGAAGUUACCUCGUUUCUCAUUUU